rnacentral:rRNA from 1 species
GGAUGAACGCUGGCGGCGUGCCUAAUACAUGCAAGUCGAGCGAACAGACGAGGAGCUUGCUCCUCUGACGUUAGCGGCGGACGGGUGAGUAACACGUGGAUAACCUACCUAUAAGACUGGGAUAACUUCGGGAAACCGGAGCUAAUACCGGAUAAUAUAUUGAACCGCAUGGUUCAAUAGUGAAAGACGGUUUUGCUGUCACUUAUAGAUGGAUCCGCGCCGCAUUAGCUAGUUGGUAAGGUAACGGCUUACCAAGGCAACGAUGCGUAGCCGACCUGAGAGGGUGAUCGGCCACACUGGAACUGAGACACGGUCCAGACUCCUACGGGAGGCAGCAGUAGGGAAUCUUCCGCAAUGGGCGAGAGCCUGACGGAGCAACGCCGCGUGAGUGAUGAAGGUCUUCGGAUCGUAAAACUCUGUUAUUAGGGAAGAACAAAUGUGUAAGUAACGAUGCACGUCUGGACGGUACCUAAUCAGAAAGCCACGGCUAACUACGU